rnacentral:rRNA from 1 species
GUAGUCCACGCCGUAAACGAUGGGUGCUAGGUGUCGCGGGCUUUGACCCCUGCGGUGCCGCAGCUAACGCAUUAAGCACCCCGCCUGGGAAGUACGGCCGCAAGGCUAAAACUCAAAGGAAUUGACGGGGCCCGCACAAGCGGUGGAGCAUGUGGUUUAAUUCGACGCAACGCGAAGAACCUUACCUGGGCUAGAAAACAUGAGGACCCGGUUGAAAAGUCGGGUGCUCUUCGGAGAACUCAUGGUUAGGUGCUGCAUGGCUGUCGUCAGCUCGUGUCGUGAGAUGUUGGGUUAAG